GGGCCCGUAGCUCAGUGGUAGAGCGCCCGGCUCAUAACCGGGUGGUCGUAGGUUCGANCCCUGCCGGGCCCACCA
rnacentral:tRNA from 1 species